UAUGGAAGAGGUUUAGAUAUUCUUAGAACUCCGCUCGUAAUCCAGCCAAAACUGACAUGGAUGUCAGUUUAGCUGCAAUAAGCCAUGGAUGGCUGUUUUGCAGCGUUGGCGUAAAUAUGUAAAAAUCCUGCCGGAGUUCUUAGAAUGUCUUAACCUUGAACAUU
rfam:Firmicutes bacterium CAG:882 genomic scaffold, scf324